rnacentral:rRNA from 1 species
UACGUAGGGUGCGAGCGUUGUCCGGAAUUAUUGGGCGUAAAGAGCUCGUAGGCGGUCUGUCGCGUCGGUCGUGAAAACUUGGGGCUUAACCCUGAGCUUGCGGUCGAUACGGGCAUGACUGGAGUUCGGUAGGGAGACUGGAAUUCCUGGUGUAGCGGUGAAAUGCGCAGAUAUCAGGAGGAACACCGGUGGCGAAGGCGGGUCUCUGGGCCGAUACUGACGCUGAGGAGCGAAAGCGUGGGGAGCGAACAGG